rnacentral:rRNA from 1 species
UGAGGAAUAUUGGUCAAUGGGCGCAAGCCUGAACCUGCGACGCCGCGUGAGUGAUGAAGGUCGUAAGAUCGUAAAACUCUUUUCAGGGAUCUUAAAGCCUGUCUGUCAACAACAGGCAGGUCUGACUCUCCCUGGAAGAAGCCCCAGCCAACUACGUGCCAGCAGCUGCGGUAAUACGUAGGGGGCGAGCGUUAUUCGGAAUUACUGGGUGUAAAGGGUAUGUAGGCGGCCCUUCAAGUCGCGUGUCAAAGUCCAGUGCUCAACGCUGGGUGUGCACGCGAUACUGACGGGCUUGAGGGCUGGAGAGGUGAGCGGAAUUCCCGGUGUAGUGGUAAAAUACGUAGAGAUCGGGAGGAACACCAGCGGCGCAGGCGGCUCACUAGACAGUUUCUGACGCUAAGAUACGAAAGCGUGGGGAGCAAACA